AUUGACAUGGCUGGACUAUUUUAACAAAUUAUUUCUUCCUCCUUCCCCGACCUUUUGGCAAUAUGAAGCCUCUGCUGUUGCUCCUCAGGGCCUGUGCAGUUAUCCUAGGAUGGCAUUGGAUUUAGCAGGGCUCUCUUUAUCUCUUUCCAUGCCUCCAUUGGUAUCACUCCUAUUAGACUCCACUGACUGUUCACUAAUUGCUGUCUUGUUUUUGACAAUGCUCUGGGGCAUAAAUUGCUCCAUAAUCUGUCCCUACUAAAUUGGGCCCUUUUGCAGGGAUAGUUUUUGCAGCAAGUCUUUGAGAUUUGUUCAGACCCCAGGAGGUAUAUUCUUACUAUCUCUCUCUGUGGUUCUCUCUAGUAAAUUAGCUGGCCUACAGUUUAGCUGUUGCCCUCCUGGAGUUACCAGCCUCCUCUUAAUUGCUUACUACCAAAAUCUCCAUUAUUUUCAAGAGGCUGGAACUUCUCUAAACUCUGAACUUCUCUACAUUCUAUUUUAAAUAAAGUCAGUUCCUUAGGGAAGAACUUUGGAGCACUUUGUUCUUAUGGACUUCCUCUCCCCCGGGGGAAAAAAUCCAUGAGGUUUUGCCCUGAGGAUGGGGACAGUGACACACUUAUUAAGCAGAGUGACCACCUCUGCCCUAUGAGCAGGACACUGGGUAGGGGCAGGAGGACCCCCAGUAUUCUCAGCUGGCCACACCUGGAAGUGGAGCCUCCACCCUGUUGCUGUGGGCUGGGUGAAAAAGAGCUGCACCUGUUUAGAACUUAGACUCUUUAUUUGGAGCUUCUGUUCCCUUGUUUCCUUUCUUCCUGGUAUUCCCAUUAUACAUAUGUUACAUCUUUUGUAGUUGUCCCACCGUUCUUAGAUAUUUUGUUCAUUUUAUUUUCAGUCUUUUUUUUUCUUUGAUUUUCUGUUUUGGAAAUUUUUAUUGUCAUAUCCUCAAGCUCAGAUUACGAAGAUGACGGGAUUAAGAGAUUAAAGUAAAGACAGGCAAUCACAGCCUUCUUAUCUUAGUAGUAUGCAUUUAAGUUUCUUCCAUGCCUUUUUAUGGCUUGAGAGCUCAUUUCUUUUUAGUAAUGAAUAAUAUUUCAUUGUCUGGAUGUAACCACAGUUUACCCAUUCACCUACUGAAGGGUAUCUUGGUUGCUUCCAAAUGUUGGCAAUUAUUAAUAAAACUGCAAUUAACACAGUCCAUACAGCCUGGCUUAACUAGGUAUCCUGAACUUACUUACUUAUGUGACCAUGCAAUACAGCAGCCAGUGACAUCUUUUUGGAGCUCACAAUGAGGAAAGCAGGACUGAACGUGCCUCCUAUAGCUUCUUUCGAGUCUCACCUUAUUCAGUGGAAAGCCCUUUGUCACACAAAGUGUUGCCAGCUGGAGACAAAAGUCUCUUGCCCAGUCCCUCCAGGGAGACAGCCCGGAGAGGCCCGUUUCUCAGAUGGGGACACUGAGGCUCAGCUCACAGGACCCAAGAGGCCGUAAUGUGCAGGACUGCCCAGGUCUGCCCUGCUGUUCCUCGGACCUCAGCAUUGCCCCUGAGAGCACCUGGCAGGGGCAUGGCCCCCUGAGCAUCAAGUGCAGGCUGAAGCCCUGGCCUGGACAUGUGGACAAGCACACAUUCCCACGACCUGCAGAUGAUUCGGGGGACCGAUGAGCUCCCAGAAGCUCAUCUGUGGACUUCAAAUUAAGAAACCCAGCUUCCUGGAAAACUGGGACAAAAACAGCCCUCAGGGCCCAUCAUGCAUGAGUCCCAGGGAUCUGCCAGGAGGUGGAGGAGGGGUUCGAGCCAGCCCCCUGCCUCUGCCAGCCUUGGCAGGGGGCUUCUUUCUGAGGCAGCACGUGGGCUUCUAUUUUUUAACCUACUCAACAAAAACGGAGACUAUUUUUAGCUCAGCAAGCUGCAGGGCAUCACAAUUAGCAACUGAAAAUUACACAUCUCGCCUGUCUCCCCUCUCUUGGCUGGCAGGGAGAGC
rnacentral:lncRNA from 10 species